rfam:Ciona savignyi cont_38239, whole genome shotgun sequence.
GCUUAUCACCAUUCCAGAUUGAAUAUACCCGAUCUCGUCUGAUCUCGGAAGUCAAGCAAUCUCGGGCUUGGUUAGUACUUGGAUGGGUGACCGC